rnacentral:rRNA from 1 species
AUUGAACGCUGGCGGCAUGCCUUACACAUGCAAGUCGAACGGUAACAGAUUAAGCUGACGAGUGGCGAACGGGUGAGUAAUGUAUCGGAACGUGCCCAGUCGUGGGGGAUAACUGCUCGAAAGAGCAGCUAAUACCGCAUACGACCUGAGGGUGAAAGCGGGGGAUCGCAAGACCUCGCGCGAUUGGAGCGGCCGAUAUCAGAUUAGGUAGUUGGUGAGGUAAAGGCUCACCAAGCCGACGAUCUGUAGCUGGUCUGUGAGGACGACCAGCCACACUGGGACUGAGACACGGCCCAGACUCCUACGGGAGGCAGCAGUGGGGAAUUUUGGACAAUGGGCGCAAGCCUGAUCCAGCCAUGCCGCGUGCGGGAAGAAGGCCUUCGGGUUGUAAACCGCUUUUGUCAGGGAAGAAAAGGUUCUGGCUAAUACCUGGGACUCAUGACGGUACCUGAAGAAUAAGCACCGGCUAACUACGUGCCAGCAGCCGCGGUAA